UACGUAGGGACCAAGCGUUGUUCGGAUUUACUGGGCGUAAAGGGCGCGUAGGCGGCAAUUCAAGUCAUCUGUGAAAUCUCCGGGCUUAACUCGGAACGGUCAGAUGAUACUGCUUUGCUAGAGUGCGGAAGGGGCAAUCGGAAUUCUCGGUGUAGCGGUGAAAUGCGUAGAUAUCGAGAGGAACACCUGAGGUGAAGACGGGUUGCUGGGCCGACACUGACGCUGAGGCGCGAAAGCCAGGGGAGCGAACGGG
rnacentral:rRNA from 1 species